UGCAGUUCCACUCAAUUUAUGGUUUACUUGUAUAUUUAUAACAUUUUAACUGCACUAUUUAACUAUAUAUAAUGAGAAGCCACUGAAAACUGGUAAUUUUAGGAUGGUAUCAACAUUCAAUUUGGGCUCAUAAACGCACCUUGCGGCUAAAUUCACUUUGAAACUUUCGUUAUUUGAAGGUAUAGCAACAUGAAAGAUUACAUUACGAUUACUUUAGUUUAACUUCAGAUUAGCCACACGAUUUUUAACAAACCAAUGUCUGGCAUAACAAAAGGUGUAAUAAAAUGUGUACAUCAUAAUAACAGGCUGUAUGGUGUCGAGGGACAGUUUCAGGUUUUCAUUGGUGUCUAGAUGCGCACCAGUCAUCCUCAUGCAAACCCAGCAGAGGUCGUCUUCCUCUCGUGCAUCAGUCCUUGUAAGAACGCGCCUCAUCGCCAGUUCGCCUGCAUAGCAUACGCUGGCUCGGAGACGCGAUAUUUUUUCCCAGUCAAAAGCAGCCGGUUCUCCGUCGCAGCAUCGCUGAUAUAACAGCGGGCUUCUAGGAUCGCCGCUGCUGGAUUCCUACGCUGGAGAUGCGUUCGCUGAAGCGCGCGUGAUUGAUGUGGUGGUCACGGAUGCUUCUGAAUGCGCUUUGCAGACGUCUCGCCUUUAAAGUUUCAAUGCUGAGCAUAGAGCUGAAAAACAGUGGAGAGAAGACCUCAGUUUAAGGAACUGGAAAGGAUAGAUCAAAUGUCUUUUUCGGGACCUUUCGGCCUAUUGCUGAAUUUAUCUCUAGCCAGAUGGCCCCAAGAAAUACGCGUAACAGUUUCUACAUUUUGGGCUCCGGUAGCGGGAAUGGCAACGCUGGAACCCAAGGCAUGUCGGAAUGGAUAGGCUUGUCCUUGAGCCGAAAAUGUGUCGACUUGAACGGAGUGUGGACCAGGUGUCUGAUAUCUGUUGGAAUUACAUUGCUUCUGGUGCCGUCCAUAUUUGCCAUAGACGAUGAAGCAAGACUCGAGGCAUCAGGACAACCCCUCAGUCCUUCCCAGGUUCCAACCGGAGCCCCAAGCAUCACAGUCUCUUCAUCGCUGCUGGAGGACGAAGACUUCGCCUCGCAGUUCCACUCCCCAGCAGCGAGGGCAGAAAGCACAAGGGAGCAGCCUGUGUUCGCCUCAGUGCAGACCAUGCAGGUUGCAGAGACACAGCCUCAGGCGCUGGUGCAUUCUCUGCCCUCCCCACCCGGCAACAGUGACAAUCGCACCAAUCAAAAGUCCCCUGGGGAGCUGGCCGUCAGAGUGCCAAAUCCACCAUCCCCGGCACAUAAAAUCAACAGUGUCUUGACCACUAGCUCAGGGACUUUGCUGAUUUGAUGUUGUCGUCAUCCUUUCUUCACCCUUUGUUCAUCAUCAUCAUCAUCAUCAUCACCAUCAUCACCAUCAU
rnacentral:lncRNA from 1 species